rnacentral:rRNA from 1 species
UGGGGAAUUUUGGACAAUGGGCGAAAGCCUGAUCCAGCAAUGCCGCGUGUGUGAAGAAGGCCUUCGGGUUGUAAAGCACUUUUGUCCGGAAAGAAAUCCUUGGCUCUAAUACAGUCGGGGGAUGACGGUACCGGAAGAAUAAGCACCGGCUAACUACGUGCCAGCAGCCGCGGUAAUACGUAGGGUGCAAGCGUUAAUCGGAAUUACUGGGCGUAAAGCGUGCGCAGGCGGUUUGCUAAGACCGAUGUGAAAUCCCCGGGCUCAACCUGGGAACUGCAUUGGUGACUGGCAGGCUAGAGUAUGGCAGAGGGGGGUAGAAUUCCACGUGUAGCAGUGAAAUGCGUAGAGAUGUGGAGGAAUACCGAUGGCGAAGGCAGCCCCCUGGGCCAAAUACUGACGCUCAUGCACGAAAAGCGUGGGGAGCAAAACAGGAUUAGAUACCCUGGUAGUCCACGCCCUAAAACGAUGUC